AUUGAACGCUGGCGGCAGGCCUAACACAUGCAAGUCGAACGAGUGGCGGACGGGUGAGUAAUGUCUGGGAAACUGCCCGAUGGAGGGGGAUAAAUACUGGAAACGGUAGCUAAUACCGCAUACCAUCGGAUGUGCCCAGAGGGGAUUAGCUAGUGGGUGGGGUAACGGCUCACCUAGGCGAAGAUCCCUAGCUGGUCUGAGAGGAUGACCAGCCACACUGGGACUGAGACACGGUCCAGCCUCCUACGGGAGGCAGCAGUGGGGAAUAUUGCACAAUGGGCGCAAGCCUGAUGCAGCCAUGCCGCGUGUAUGAAGAAGGCUUUCGGGUUGUAAAGUACUUUCAGCGAAGAGGCGUUACUCGCAGAGGAAGCACCGGCUAACUCCGUGCCAGCAGCCGCGGUAAUUC
rnacentral:rRNA from 1 species